CCCAAGCCCACUCUCUGUCUGUUUCUUCUCCUCUCCCGAUUCCCACCCACAUCGCCGCCGCCGCCUCACCCACCGGCCACCUCGUCGCCGUGCUACCCACAGCCGCCCACCCUCCCUGCCCUCCCCUCACCACCUUCUCUCCCUUGGCGGAAGGAUCCCCUUCGACUCCCGUCGCCAUUCCUGACGACCCCGAAAUCUCCUCUGCUCGAGUUCAGAUCCGCACCACUCCAACCUACAGGCGAUGGCGUCGGCGAGGCUGGCCCCGAACGGCGUGGGGGCGGCGCUGGCGGGGGACACGAACCUCAAGCCCGUCGCGCACAUCUUCGCCGGACAACUCAGCUACCUCCGCGGCACCUUCGUGCAGCUCGUCGAGUAGGACGGAGAUGCUCCUCCACAGUCGCUGCUGCACCGGGAGAGGAGGAGUUGGCGGCCACUCCUCCCGACGACGAGAUGCGUGGCUGGCUGCUCCCCCUCUCUCGCCCAUCUCCUCCUCACCGCCGACCUCGGCCCCUGCAAGCUCCACCCUCCAACGCAGGGACCUUAACACUUGUAUGUAAGCGUGGAGAGAGUUUGAUGGUGAUCAGGGGGUGGUAGUACAUUUGUAGCUGUAGCCAACACUUGGUUUUGUAUUUGGCACAAGUGGAGAGGUGCGUCGAUGACCCGUUGAUAUUCAGUUGCUGGGCAUCGUCCCCGUCAUGGCAUCCGUCUUCCAGCACACCAACGAGUGGUCGUCGCAGACGAUAUUGAUGAGGGCAUGCUUUCUGGUGCUUCUGCUUGCGGCCAGACAUGUGGUACGUACCUGCACCCGCGCGCUCCCUUUCUUCAAUUGUCACGAUGACCGGCGCUGAUCGCCUGCUGUCCUACGCGCGAAAAACACCAAAUGCUACUUAGGAGUACAUACCAGGGUACGUCGUGCAGCUAGCUAUUGUGACCUUAAGUUCACUGAACCCGCAUUCUUGACACAUCAGCUAAACAGCUGAAUGACUGAACCUGUAGCCUAUAGGUGCUGGCUUGAGAAAUCAAGCGCCCUAAAGGCCGUCUAGUGCAACUACUACUGAUCUUUUAUGCUAGCUAUAGAGGAAUACUGGUGUAACUCUCAAUGUCAUACUAAUUUCGUCCCUCGACUCUGACAAAAAAAAGGGAAAAUUUGGGAAUUAAAUUCACACAAUUAAAUUUGAGAAAUCUCAUCUUUAUUCUCUACUUCUGUAGCUAAAUUUUGUUUCGAGGGAGCUGAUUUCUUUCCAGAUGAAAAUUAGGAACAAUAAGGGUUUCGAGCCAUACAUUUAACAGCCAGUGCUGGUGGCAAUCCUGUCUAACCAAGUUCAUUCUUAACUGCUUCUGCUACGGGUUGAGCAUGAGAUGGCCAAAGUUUUUCUGGAUCUCAGUGUGUGCUCCCUUGGCGUCCGUCAUCGUAUCCACCCUGCUCGUCUUCCUGUUCAAAGCGCAGAACCAUGCCAUCAGCAUCGUAGGAGAACAACAAAGACUGAGCUUCCGCCGCAGAUUAGGUCACUUAAAUGUGGCUUGAAUUACCCCUCGUGGGACAAACUGCUCUUCGAUCUGACAUAUCUUGGACUUGCCAUGAAGACCGGCCUUGCCUCGUCACCGGAAUCAUCUCCCCUACAGAAGGAGUAGCAGUCGGUAUUUGCUUCAAUCAAGGACUACCAGGUGGAUGGCAACAAAGAGAUGAUGGCCACUGGGUUGAUGAGCAUUGUGGGCUCAUCUCCAGGAGAGGUGCGUCGAUGACCCGUUGAUAUUCAGUUGCUGAAGAAGGAAAGAUGGUGGCGAGUAGCAAGACGAAAUCAUUCACGGCUUAGUUAGUUUGUCAUGGUGUCAGAAUAGCUGAGUUGCUGUCGUGUUCAAUUUUUGUUGUGGAACAUAUCUCUCGCAGUUGGUAGUCUUGACUUUUUGUUCAUCACAAUCCUUAUUCGUCCAUUGCCAUAUAACUCUUUUAUACUGUUA